rnacentral:rRNA from 1 species
UACGUAGGGUGCAAGCGUUAAUCGGAGUUACUGGGCGUAAAGCGUGCGCAGGCGGCUUUGCAAGACAGAUGUGAAAUCCCCGGGCUUAACCUGGGAACUGCAUUUGUGACUGCAUCGCUGGAGUGCGGCAGAGGGGGAUGGAAUUCCGCGUGUAGCAGUGAAAUGCGUAGAUAUGCGGAGGAACACCGAUGGCGAAGGCAAUCCCCUGGGCCUGCACUGACGCUCAUGCACGAAAGCGUGGGGAGCAAACAGG